AUUUCAUACAAGUGAAAGACCCCCAAAGGGAGACCCUCACUCAAGCCUCGGGACAGCCGCGGACCCAAGAAGACACUGAGACCG
rnacentral:pre_miRNA from 7 species